rnacentral:rRNA from 1 species
GACGAACGCUGGCGGCGUGCUUAAUACAUGCAAGUAGAACGCAGUUGCGAACGGGAGAGUAAUGCGUAGGUAACUGCCUGGUAGCGGGGGAUAACUAUUGGAAACGAUAGCCAAUACCGCAUAUCACCAGAUGGAUCGGCGUUGUAUUAGCCAGUUGGGCAGGUAACGGAUUACCAAGGCAACGAUACAUAGCCGACCGGAGAGGGUGAUCGGCCACGCUGGGACUGAGACACGUCACAAACUCCCACGGUAGGCAGCAGUAGGGAAUCUGCGGCAAUGGGUGGAACCCUGACCGAGCAACGCCGCGUGAGUGAAGAAGGUUUUCGGAGCGUAAAGCUCUGUUGUUAAGGAAGCGGUACUUAACCAAAAAGGGACGGCUAACUACGGGCCAGCAGCCGCGGUAAUUC